rnacentral:rRNA from 1 species
GGUGACAAACCGGAGGAAGGUGGGGAUGACGUCAAAUCAUCAUGCCCCUUAUGACCUGGGCUACACACGUACUACAAUGGCCGGUACAACGGGCUGCGAAGGAGCGAUCCGGAGCUAAUCCUACCAAAGCCGGUCUCAGUUCGGAUUGCAGGCUGCAACUCGCCUGCAUGAAGUCGGAAUUGCUAGUAAUCGCGGAUCAGCAUGCCGCGGUGAAUACGUUCCCGGGUCUUGUACACACCGCCCGUCACACCACGAGAGUUUACAACACCCGAAGCCGGUGGGGUAACCGCAAGGAGCCAGCCGUCGAAGGUGGGGUAGAUGAUUGGGGUGAAGUCGUAACAAGGUAGCCGUAUCGGAAGGUGCGGCUGGAUCACCUCCUUAA